UUAGGAAUAUUGGGCAAUGGAGGGAACUCUGACCCAGCAACGCCGCGUGAAGGAAGAAGGUUUUCGGAUUGUAAACUUCUGAUCUGUGGGAAGAAGAAAAUGACGGUACCACAGGAGAAAGCCACGGCUAACUACGUGCCAGCAGCCGCGGUAAUACGGAGGGUGCGAGCGUUAAUCGGAAUUACUGGGCGUAAAGCGCUCGUAGGUAGUAUAUCAAGUCAAGGGUGAAAUCCCCGCGCUCAACGUGGGAACUGCCUUUGAAACUGGUAGACUUGAGUGUGUGAGAGGAUAGUGGAAUUCCAGGUGUAGGAGUGAAAUCCGUAGAUAUCUGGAGGAACAUCAGUGGCGAAGGCGACUAUCUGGCACAUAACUGACACUGAGGAGCGAAAGCGUGGGUAGCAAACAGGAUUAGAUACC
rnacentral:rRNA from 1 species